rnacentral:rRNA from 1 species
AUUGAACGCUGGCGGCAGGCUUAACACAUGCAAGUCGAGCGGGGUGAUGGUGCUUGCACUAUCACUUAGCGGCGGACGGGUGAGUAAUGCUUAGGAAUCUGCCUAUUAGUGGGGGACAACAUCUCGAAAGGGAUGCUGAUACCGCAUACGUCCUACGGGAGAAAGCAGGGGAUCACUUGUGACCUUGCGCUAAUAGAUGAGCCUAAGUCGGAUUAGCUAGUUGGUGGGGUAAAGGCCUACCAAGGCGACGAUCUGUAGCGGGUCUGAGAGGAUGAUCCGCCACACUGGGACUGGGACACGGCCCAGACUCCUACGGGAGGUAGCAGUGGGGAAUAUUGGACAAUGGGGGGAACCCUGAUCCAGCCAUGCCGCGUGUGUGAAGAAGGCCUUAUGGUUGUAAAGCACUUUAAGCGAGGAGGAGGCUCUUUUGGUUAAUACCCAAGAUGAGUGGACGUUACUCGCAGAAUAAGCACCGGCUAACUCUGUGCCAGCCGCCGCAGUAA